rnacentral:rRNA from 1 species
UACGUCAACAUCCUUAACGAAUUUAACCCAUUCUAACCUAUUGACCAUCGACUUUGAUAACCGUAAGCACGCUUUCGGCACCAGAGCAGCGAUCAGAGAUCAGACAGGUAGCCCCGAAGGGUAUCCGUUGCAAUCCUCAAUCCCGAUCAUCACAUCUGCCGAAGGCUAUAACACUUCAAUCGAAAUCGAAGCUACAUUCCUCCAGCCAUUUUAUGAUAAUCAAAAUUGAUGUUAACUAACCACACAGGCAAGUACACCCAAAGUACACGAAUAUGCAGGCAUGAAGGCGUUUAACUCCUCACACUCCCAGAAUCAUGCCCAAAAGGCUGAUUACCCGCAGGUACGACUGGCUUCAAUCGUUUCCCUUUCAACAAUUUCACGUACUGUUUAACUCUCUUUUCAAAGUUCUUUUCAUCUUUCCCUCACGGUACUUGUUCGCUAUCGGUCUCUCGCCGUUAUUUAGCCUUAGGAGAAAUUUACCUCCCAUUUUAAGCUGCAAUCCCAAACAACUUGACUCUUUGAAAGCGUAUCGUAAAGCGAAUCUGAUCAACCGAACGGGAUUCUCACCCUCCGUGAUGCCUUAUCCCAAAGGACUUGGACUGAUCAGAAACACAGAAAACGCCUCUUCAAAUUACAACUCGGUCAGGUAGAACCCGACAGAUUUAAAAUUUGAGCUUGUCCCUCUUCACUCGCAGUUACUAGGGGAAUCAUUGUUAUUUUCUUUUCCUCCGCUUAUUGAUAUCG